GGCCGGUUAGCUCAGUUAGUUAGAGCGUGGUGCUAAUAACGCCAAGGUCACGGGUUCAACCCCUGAACGGGCCA
rnacentral:tRNA from 1 species